GCGUUUAUAGUAAAUUCAUUACGCUGGCCUUCCAAGCCGGAAUUCCUCUAGUAGGUAAACGUU
rnacentral:tRNA from 1 species